rnacentral:lncRNA from 1 species
AAGCUGUGUGCCCCUCUCUUUCCCCACCCAUCCACUGAAUGCAUAGGACACUGAGGUCCUUAGAGGCUCCUAGAGCCACAAGCUAGAAGGAGCCUUGGUCACCACGGAGAAGAGCCACCUGCGAACCAGGAACACCUGCGUUGGACUGUUACCAGCGUGAACAUUGAUAUUAGGCUAAGCCACUUAAAUGGGUCUGUUUCCAGAACUCCCUCCAGAUUCACCAUUGCUGAUCCUGAGCCCUCCUGUCAUCCAGGGCCGUGACUGUGUCUGAACAGCCAGGAAGGUGCCUCAGGACUAAGGAGCAGGGUUACCAGGUGCCUGGAUGUCAUCAAGAAGCCCAGUACCUGCAGACAUCACCUUCCAAGAACCGAGGACUGUCCGUUUUCGAGUGUGAACGCCAUCUGAUUAGAAAUGAG